rnacentral:tRNA from 1 species
GGUUGGGUGGCUCAGUGGUUAGAGCCUAGGGCUCGUAACCGAAAGGUUCCGAGUUCGAAUCUCGCAAGAGGCA